AGAGAAUGAAUGUACUCCCAUGAGGCCAUUGAUAAAUUGGAAAGAAAUAGGGAGGAAAGAAAGAAAAAAUGCAACAAAUUUAUAAAACAUGACUCCAGGGUAAACGAUUUCAACACUCAAAACUUCUCUGGCCCCAAAUUACGCUUCCCAUAAAAUUUAUGAGCAGUAAACCAGUCACUUCGAUGAGAGAAAAGCAAAGUCCGGUACUUUUAUCAGCUUCUUUUAAGGCUUAAAGGUGCAAAGGCAACGACCGAAUUAUAGCCACCAAAGCCAAGUGAGUUAGAGAUCCC
rnacentral:lncRNA from 1 species